CAUCUGGCAACCUGACAAUGUUGGAAACUGGUGAACCUGUGUACUCCCCUGUGACCCAGGAAGUACCUUUGCUUACUGAAGAUCUUAUCAAAGAAAAUGAGGAGUUUGUGCUUCGAACAGGAAGCGUUGGUGCUGGAUGUUUUCAACUCCUCUCUGACAUGCAGGCUUUCAAGG